AGAACGAACGCUGGCGGCAUGCCUAAUACAUGCGAGUCGAACGAACUCUUCGGAGUUAGUGGCGCACGGGUGCGUAACGCGUGGGAAUCUGCCCCUUGGCUCGGAAUAACAGUUGGAAACGACUGCUAAUACCGGAUGAUGACGAAAGUCCAAAGAUUUAUCGCCAAGGGAUGAGCCCGCGUAGGAUUAGCUAGUUGGUGAGGUAAAGGCUCACCAAGGCAACGAUCCUUAGCUGGUCUGAGAGGAUGAUCAGCCACACUGGGACUGAGACACGGCCCAGACCUCCGUACGGGAGCAGCAGUAGGAUAUGGAC
rnacentral:rRNA from 1 species